AAAAGCCAACCUGAGUAAUGUUGGCACCGCCAAUAGACCUACGGGCGCUACGGCAUAUCAUGACUCGAUCUGCUGCGGCGCCCGCGCUCUUCCUGGUUUAUCCUUCUCUCGCUUCCACUCCUCUGCCCUCCAAAGCCAAAGGGCUCGAAGACCAAUGAGCCCCCUGGGUUGUGGUUCUCGAAGAGGAGGUUAACGCUGUCGAACAUGUGGUACAGGAAGUCGACGCCGCAGAGAUGGUCGAGGAUGCGCCGGUGGCGACGGUGGGGAUCGACCCCGCUGCCGACCUUCAGGUGCUCCCUCGAGAAGCCUUCGGUAUAGCGCUACGCUUGUAGCGGUACAGACUAUGGUUGCGGUCUGGUUUUUGGGCGGUGUCGGAGGCGAGGAGGGGAACGGCUCUGGCAUGCGGAAAGUCGAGGAAGGCAGGGUUGGGAGUGCAGCGAGCCAAGUAGCGGAGUUUCAGAAGAUCCUGGAGAUUAGAGCGACGGCUAAGGAGGCGAGGGAGACUGAAAGGAGGGAGCUUUCCGAAGACAGUGGAGUCCAGGGUGAGUUAAGCAAAAAGAUUAGUAGUUUGAGAAAGAGAUCUCCGAAGGUCAUCUUGGACGAGAAUGGAUUUUCUGUCUCUGCCGCUGCCCUCCAAGAAUGUGCAUGAGGAAAUGGAUGGAAAGAAGCUCAAAUCCAAGCAGAACACGGAUAUAAAAAAAUUGAACUACAAGAGAAAGGGUGGUUUUUUUGAAAUCCAUAAGGAAAUCUGAAAAUGUUCCGAAAGGAUUUGGUGGAUCGGGAAAAAGGCAAGAGCCUGGCAAAGGAAGCAACGGAAAUGUUAAAGUAUAUUGUCGUAUAAGGCCACCUUUUGAAGAUGAAGGUCUUUCUAUAAUUGAACUUCUAAAUGAAUUCACAGUUUAAGUAAACACCAAUGAUGAUUCUCUUGUCAAUCCUAAAAAGGAUUAUGAAUUUGAUCGAGUAUAUAUAUGGCCCUCAUGUUGGACAAGGGAAUUCUUUUGCGAUGUUCAACUAUUUGUGCAGUCAGCUUUGGAUGGAUAUAAUGUAUCUAUAUUUGCAUAUGGCCAAAUCGCCUCUUGGAAGACACAUAAUGAUUUCCUCCUUUCGUUGGAUCCUCUUGAUGUCAUUACUUCUCUCUUUUAGCUAUAUGUAUUGAAUAUGUUAUUGAAGGUUGGAGAAGACUUGUUAUUAAAAAUUGUAUAUAUUUUAGAAAUUGAAGAAGAUUUUGUGCUACAUUGUGGAGAAAAAUGUAAAUGAGAUAUAUUAAUAUUUUGAAAUGUAAUAUGAAUAUUAUAUUUUGUUUUGGU